UACAGAGGUCUCAAGCGUUGUUCGGAUUCAUUGGGCGUAAAGGGUGCGUAGGUGGCGGGGUAAGUCUGAUGUGAAAGCUUCGAGCUCAACUCGAAAAUGGCAUUGGAUACUAUUCUGCUGGAGGUUUGGAGGGGGGACUGGAAUUCUCGGUGUAGCAGUGAAAUGCGUAGAUAUCGAGAGGAACACCGGUGGCGAAGGCGGCAUCCUGGACCAAUAUUGACGCUGAGGAGCGAAAGCCAGGGGAGCAAACGGG
rnacentral:rRNA from 1 species